rnacentral:rRNA from 1 species
GACGAACGCUGGCGGCGUGCCUAAUGCAUGCAAGUCGAGCGGGCUACGAUCUUCGGAUUGUAGCUUAGCGGCGAACGGGUGAGUAACACGUAGGUAAUCUACCCUUCAGAGGAGGACAACCUCAGGAAACUGAGGCUAAACCUUCAUACGUUCACUGGUAGGGAUACUGGUGAAGAAAGAGUUACCUUAAAGGUAGCUGCUGAAGGAUGAGCCUGCGGCCCAUCAGGUAGUUGGUGAGGUAACGGCUCACCAAGCCGAAGACGGGUAACCGGUCUGAGAGGAUGUCCGGUCACACUGGGACUGAGACACGGCCCAGACUCCUACGGGAGGCAGCAGCAGGGAAUCUUGGGCAAUGGGCGAAAGCCUGACCCAGCGACGCCGCGUGGAGGAAGAAGUCCUUCGGGGCGUAAACUCCUGGACUGGGGGACGAGGAAGGACGGUACCCCAGUAGAAAGGGACGGCUAACUACGUG